UACGGAGGGUGCAAGCGUUAUCCGGAAUCAUUGGGUUUAAAGGGUCCGUAGGCGGAUAAAUAAGUCAGAGGUGAAAUCCUGCAGCUCAACUGUAGAACUGCCUUUGAUACUGUUUAUCUUGAGUUAUUGUGAAGUGGUUAGAAUAUGUAGUGUAGCGGUGAAAUGCAUAGAUAUUACAUAGAAUACCGAUUGCGAAGGCAGAUCACUAACAAUAUACUGACGCUGAUGGACGAAAGCGUGGGGAGCGAACAGG
rnacentral:rRNA from 1 species